rnacentral:rRNA from 1 species
GACGAACGCUGGCGGCGUGCUUAACACAUGCAAGUCGAACGGAAAGGCCCUGCUUUUGUGGGGUGCUCGAGUGGCGAACGGGUGAGUAACACGUGAGUAACCUGCCCUUGACUUUGGGAUAACUUCAGGAAACUGGGGCUAAUACCGGAUAGGAGCUCCUGCUGCAUGGUGGGGGUUGGAAAGUUUCGGCGGUUGGGGAUGGACUCGCGGCUUAUCAGCUUGUUGGUGGGGUAGUGGCUUACCAAGGCUUUGACGGGUAGCCGGCCUGAGAGGGUGACCGGCCACAUUGGGACUGAGAUACGGCCCAGACUCCUACGGGAGGCAGCAGUGGGGAAUAUUGCACAAUGGGCGGAAGCCUGAUGCAGCAACGCCGCGUGCGGGAUGACGGCCUUCGGGUUGUAAACCGCUUUCGCCUGUGACGAAGCGUGAGUGACGGUAAUGGGUAAAGAAGCACCGGCUAACUACGUGCCGGCAGCCGCGGUGAUACGUAGGGUGCGAGCGCUGUCCGGAUUUAUUGGGCGUAAAGGGCUCGUAGGUGGUUGAUCGCGUCGGAAGUGUAAUCUUGGGGCUUAACCCUGAGCGUGCUUUCGAUACGGGUUGACUUGAGGAAGGUAGGGGAGAAUGGAAUUCCUGGUGGAGCGGUGGAAUGCGCAGAUAUCAGGAGGAACACCAGUGGCGAAGGCGGUUCUCUGGGCCUUUCCUGACGCUGAGGAGCGAAAGCGUGGGGAGCGAACAGGCUUAGAUACCCUGGUAGUCCACGCUGUAAACGGUGGGUACUAGGUGUGGGGUCCAUUCCACGGGUUCCGUGCCGUAGCUAACGCUUUAAGUACCCCGCCUGGGGAGUACGGCCGCAAGGCUAAAACUCAAAGGAAUUGACGGGGCCCCGCACAAGCGGCGGAGCAUGCGGAUUAAUUCGAUGCAACGCGUAGAACCUUACCUGGGUUUGACAUGGAUCGGGAGUGCUCAGAGAUGGGUGUGCCUCUUUUGGGGUCGGUUCACAGGUGGUGCAUGGCUGUCGUCAGCUCGUGUCGUGAGAUGUUGGGUUAAGUCCCGCAACGAGCGCAACCCUUGUUCACUGUUGCCAGCACGUUAUGGUGGGGACUCAGUGGAGACCGCCGGGGUCAACUCGGAGGAAGGUGGGGAUGACGUCAAGUCAUCAUGCCCCUUAUGUCCAGGGCUUCACGCAUGCUACAAUGGCUGGUACAGAGAGUGGCGAGCCUGUGAGGGUGAGCGAAUCUCGGAAAGCCGGUCUCAGUUCGGAUUGGGGUCUGCAACUCGACCUCAUGAAGUCGGAGUCGCUAGUAAUCGCAGAUCAGCAACGCUGCGGUGAAUACGUUCCCGGG